UGAAAGGGGACCCUACGGAUCUACAGAGGAUGAUUGCAAUUAUAGUGAAUAUUUAAAUUUUAAAAAAAUGUAUUACAGUAAAUGACACAUCAUCAUUAAUCUCCCUGAAAAUACUCCCCUUCUUGUCAUGUCUUUAUUUAUUUUCCUGUUCCAGAGAUCAAACUCAGGACUUGGCGCUUGCCAGGCAGGCACAGUGCUGCCAAGAUACAUUUCCCACCCCAUGCAUGUCUUUAUAUGAUAAAAAAAGAUAUGAUCAAAACUAUACUGUGCGCUGCCGCUGAGUGUCAUCCAGCAGAAAAACAUGAGUGUGUUCUCACUCAUCUCAUUCACCAGGUCUGGUACUGUGCAAAGGCUGGCUCUUCCCCAGGGCAAAAUCACCACGAAAGGUAAGCGUUUGGAAUUGUUCGGGACAUGGGAGCAGCCUUGGCAGCACAAGCGAAUGCAAAAACGAGGACUUCAGAACAAACUGCUUCAGAAAGUGGCCAUAACAACAGGAUAAGUGUGUUUGAAGAGGGGGGAAACCUGAAGGGAUUAAUGGCAAUGUGCCUUUUACCGUAAAAAAAAAAAAAAGUUUUUAAAUUUAAACUUUCACCAUAUGUUUCAGUCACGGUACAGAGAAGAUGAGCAAGAGAGGGUCUGGAAGGAACCAAGAGCUUUGGAGAGGAGACCCGGUCCCUCACAAGGAUUCGUCUCAGACCUCUUGGUCUACCAAGAGCUACACAGCCUGGCUGCCAGUGGUGAAUGUGCUUGCCAACGACACAAGCUAGGCCGGCGGUUUGCAGUGAUGCAGAGGUGAGUGCUGCCAGACCUGCACUGAGAAAAACAGACGAAGCUGAACCCAGAACCCAGGAAGAAGGGCAAGCCUGGCCAAUUUAGGGAGACCCUGUCUCAAAAAUUUUAAAAGGGUGAGGAUGUAGCUUAGUGGCGGAGUGCUUGCACAGCAUUGUGCGGCCACUGAGUUCCACACCCAGGACUUUCCUGCUGCAGAUCUUUUCUUCUUUUUUUGGACAGGGUCCUGCUAAGUUGCCCAGGCUGGCCUUGUACUUGUGAUCCUCCUGCCUGAGAUUCAGGAGAGCUGGGAUUACAGGAAUGUGUUGCCACUUCCACCCCACAUAUUUUGAAAGUAGUGUUUAAUCUUGUAAUGUGUGACCAUUAGUUGGAAAGCUUUAGGGAUUCUGUCUAUUUUGAUGAGAUUUAUACAUUUUUGUGGAAAGAGGGGCCUUUUUCUAUUUCUUCAUCU
rnacentral:lncRNA from 1 species